UACGUAGGGGCCUAGCGUUGUCCGGAUUUAUUGGGCGUAAAGAGCUCGUAGGCGGUUCGGCAAGUCGGAUGUGAAAUCUCCACGCUCAACGUGGAGGGGCCAUUCGAAACUGCCGUGACUCGAGUCCGGUAGGGGAGUGUGGAAUUCCCGGUGUAGCGGUGAAAUGCGCAGAUAUCGGGAGGAACACCAGUAGCGAAGGCGGCACUCUGGGCCG
rnacentral:rRNA from 1 species